rfam:Oryza nivara chromosome 11, whole genome shotgun sequence.
AUCCCAUGAUGAGGACAAGCGGCCACAUACUCCUGCAGUCGUUCUAAUGCUUCGGGAAUAGACUCGUCCCUUCUCUGCUGGAAAUUGGGAAUCCUUCCACGAAGGGC